rnacentral:rRNA from 1 species
AAUAGCUUUCCCUCCAGAGUGGAUCCUGAGUACGGCGGAACACGUGAAAUUCCGUCGGAAUCCGGGAGGACCAUCUCCCAAGGCUAAAUACUCCCUAGUGACCGAUAGUGAACCAGUACCGUGAGGGAAAGGUGAAAAGCACCCCGGAAGGGGAGUGAAACAGUUCCUGAAACCGUGUGCCUACAAGUAGUUAGAGCCCGUUAAUGGGUGAUAGCGUGCCUUUUGUAGAAUGAACCGGCGAGUUACGAUUUGUUGCAAGGUUAAGCGGAAAAAGCGGAGCCGUAGCGAAAGCGAGUCUGAAUAGGGCGCAUAAGUAACAGGUCGUAGACCCGAAACCAGGUGAUCUACCCAUGUCCAGGAUGAAGGUAAGGUAAUACUUACUGGAGGUCCGAACCCACGCACGUUGAAAAGUGCGGGGAUGAGGUGUGGGUAGCGGAGAAAUUCCAAUCGAACUUGGAGAUAGCUGGUUCUCUCCGAAAUAGCUUUAGGGCUAGCCUCGAGGUAAAGAGUCAUGGAGGUAGAGCACUGUUUGGACUAGGGGCCCUUCUCGGGUUACCGAAUUCAGAUAAACUCCGAAUGCCAUGUACUUAUACUCGGGAGUCAGACUGCGAGUGAUAAGAUCCGUAGUCGAAAGGGAAACAGCCCAGACCACCAGUUAAGGUCCCCAAAUAUAUGUUAAGUGGAAAAGGAUGUGGGGUUGCUUAGACAACCAGGAUGUUGGCUUAGAAGCAGCCACCAUUGAAAGAGUGCGUAAUAGCUCACUGGUCGAGUGACCCCGCGCCGAAAAUGUACCGGGGCUAAACAUAUUACCGAAACUGUGGAUGAACCUCUUUAGAGGUUCGUGGUAGGAGAGCGUUCUAAGGGCGGUGAAGUCAGACCGGAAGGACUGGUGGAGCGCUUAGAAGUGAGAAUGCCGGUAUGAGUAGCGAAAGAAGGGUGAGAAUCCCUUCCACCGAAUAUCUAAGGUUUCCUGAGGAAGGCUCGUCCGCUC